UUUUGUACCCCAUGUCUAGGGUCUUCCCUCUGUAAGGAAUGUGUUGUACAACAAUGCAGAGUGCUACGGCUCAAGAAUCAGUUGAACAAAGACUACAAAGAAGUUUCCAGCCUUAUGAAAAUACCAGUAAAAAGUAAUGAAGGAUUUUGGGUCGGAAAAGCCUCCUUGAGAUGCUGGAGACAACUGGCACUAGAACAAUUAGAAGACAGUCAAAAAGAAACGCAUCAACCUAAUGGAAAAACAAAUGGGGAAGGACCAGAAAUUUCUGCGCUCCAAGACACUGACAGCAAAGAUCAAGAAAAUGAAGAGAUGAAAACCUUUAAUGAAGAUAUUCUCUGUCUUCAUGGGGGCAUGUCCAUAUCAGUGGGUGAGAAGAAACUAAUCUCUCAUGAUGUGUGGAGCAGGCUUAAAGUGUACUUCCCCAGUGCUCCGGAGUUUGCCUACAAUCAAGAUGCCUGUCAGCAGUGCAUAGUAAGAUUGCACAUUCAUUUAAAGAGCAC